UACGAAGGGGGCUAGCGUUGUUCGGAAUUACUGGGCGAAAAGCGCGCGCGGGCGGCUAUCCAAGUCAGGGGGGAAAGCCCGGAGCUCAACUCCGGAACUGCCAUUGAAACUGUUUAGCUUGAGGAUGAGAGAGGUGAGUGGAAUUCCCAGUGUAGAGGUGAAAUUCGUAGAUAUUCGGAAGAACACCAGUGGCGAAGGCGACUUACUGGACACAUAUUGACGCUGAGGUGCGAAAGCGUGGGGAGCAAACAGG
rnacentral:rRNA from 1 species